rnacentral:lncRNA from 1 species
AUGAUUGAAGAUGCAGGAGGCUACAACAGUGAUACCGAUAGUCAAAGCGGGAAUGACACUGAGGACGAAAAUGAGGAGAUGCCUCCAGUCUAUGAACUUCAACCCAUGGCUGUGCCUGCUGAAGUUAAUGUUAAUAUUAACCCAGUGGAAGAGCAUGUACCCGUCGUUGCUGCGCCUGUAAUUCAGGAAAUACAAGAAGCUGUAACCCAAAUGCUGGCAUCGAUAGAUGGGAGUAAUGAAAUUGUUAUCACUGUAGGAAGAGAAACCAUUCUACGAGACUUGAAGGAAGUUUUAACUCCAACAUUUAACUUCAGAAGGAAGGUCCGAGUUAUUUUUUCCAAUGAGCCAGGUGCAGAUGAAGGUGGGCUAACCAGGGAGUGCUUCCGCCUUGCUACGUCAUCAAUACAGAAUUUAAAUAUCUUUGCUGGUCCAGAGAAAAAGAAACAGCUAGUUCCAGCCAGGUGCUUCCUUCUCUAUGUGGGUAUGGUUGCACUGAAAGGGACCCUAUCAAAAGAAAAAUAUUUGCACUUCAUGCAAUUGUGUAUAGGCAUGCGAGUCUUCCUUGGGCCCUCUUUAUGCAGAAAGUUGGAUUUUAGACACUAUGCUUCUGAGCUACUAAGAUGUUUUGUCUCGUCAACUGAGUUCCUUUAUGGGAAAGAAUUCAUGACCCACAACUUACACUCCUUCAUUCACCUCAUAGAAGAUGUAGAUUUUUUUAAAGAUUUUUUUGAAAAUUUCUCUUUGAACGACUUAAGCUGCUUCCCCUUCGAGAACUUCAUGCAGUUCUUCAAGCGGUAUACUAAGAGCUAUGCGCGGGUUGUAACGCAACUCGGACGGAGAAUGGGCGAGCUUUUCGCAUCGAACUUCUGGAGAUCGUUUUACUCUCCCGAGCCAGCGAGAACGGAAGUUUCUUUCACAAAGGAACAUAAUCAUGGCCCUCUUCCUUACCCACUCAAAGGUAAACAGUAUCACAGUGCGAUCUUUCCUGACUUCACACUUUCAGUAGACUUAGCAGAUAGUACUUGCGGUUUGACAACAGGACAAAUUAUUGUGAUACAAAUUUAUUAUUGA